GGUUUCUGGCUCAGUGGUAGAGCACUUGCCUAGCACACAUGAGGCACUGGGUUUGAUCCCCAGUACCA
rnacentral:tRNA from 1 species